rnacentral:rRNA from 1 species
UACGAAGGGGGCUAGCGUUGCUCGGAAUUACUGGACGUAAAGCGCACGUAGGCGGAUUGUUAAGUCGGGGGUGAAAUCCUGGAGCUCAACUCCAGAACUGCCUUCGAUACUGGCGAUCUCGAGUCCGGGAGAGGUGAGUGGAACUGCGAGUGUAGAGGUGAAAUUCGUAGAUAUUCGCAAGAACACCAGUGGCGAAGGCGGCCUUCUGGACAGUGACUGACGCUGAGAUGCGAAAGCGUGGGGAGCAAACAGG